AAGAGUCGGACACGACUGAGCGACUGAUCUGAUCUGAUCUGAUGCGUAUAAACACCCCCCCUGCCCCCGAAACACACACACAAGAAAGGCUGCCACAGCCACAGACCUCCCACGUACGAGCGUCCAUCUAUGCCUGGAGAUGCCCCCAUCCGUCUGGGGUUGGUGCUGCCUGGGAACCUCCGCCAGCACCUGUCUGUGUGGUGACCUGUGGGGGCAGGGCAGACCUCUGUGUCUGGCGUUAGAUGGGCGGUUCUCUCCGAUGCAGCCAUGGUAUCCUGUGUUGAGGUUCCUGUAAGUGGCAUUACGGAGCCCCUGUAUGAUGGUGUCCGGAAGCUCUUGACUGUGGGGCCUAUCCAUGACUAGACUCCAUGUGGCAGUGACCAUCCACGGUAGUGUCCAAGCUCUCCAGACAUAUACGGGGGCCCGACCACAGCCUGCAGGGAAUGCCUGGCACGUGGUUGCACAGCCCCCAUCGCAGGCCCGCAGCGAGCUCCUCUGAACACACACCGGCACGCCGGGGGCUCCUCUGUCUCCGUCUUUCCCAGUGGCACCAUCACGACCCGGCGCUCCCGGCUUUCCCGUCUCCCCCUGAGAGGGAAGAGCUCUGUCAGGGGCCUGCCCGCUGACUUCUGAGCCCCAGAGCCCGGCCCUGACCCCCAGGACUCACCACUUGUCCAGGCAAACCCGGUGCCCCUUGAGGACCCUGUGGGGAACAAGUUGGAUGUGAGAGGAACAUGGAGAGCAGGGGACCCAGCGGGGCAGGGACUUCGUGUGUCCCCACAGGGGCCUCACUCACCACCAGGCCUGAAGGGCCAGGGGGCCCGGGAAGUCCCACGGCUCCAGUAGGUCCAGGGAGGCCCUGGAGGAAGCGGGAGUUGAGGGCAGUGCCAACCCCGCCCAGCUCCCUGUGACUUCCCCAUGGGCUGGGCCACUCACCCGUCCUGGUGGUCCUGUCUCUCCGGGCUCCCCCUGCCAAAAACACAGACACUGAAUGAGCCGACAGAUGGACCAGAGGCCCCUCAGCCCUGGUCCACAAGCAGAGCCCGCGUGGACGGGGCACCUUAGUGCUCAGUGGCGCAGUGAGGUCCCCAGAGGCUGGCAGACAUUGUCCUGGUGGACAGGCUGCUCUGAGUCCCUGCCUUCUUCCAGCCUCACACCCACACAUGCCUAUACUCACCUUUAGGCCAGAAGGUCCCUGGGGUCCCGCAGGGCCAGCAAGACCCUAUAAAAAAAUAUCAAGGGCAGGAAACAAGGGUCCAAGUUGCACCUGGACUUACGGACUAACACAAGUUUUCCACCCGAUGUGGGGACUGAUGCCUGUCCCAUGCCCACCAGGCGGUGCUUCCCCGCCACUCACCGGAGCCCCGGGUGGUCCAGGGUCUCCAUGGCCGCCCUGUGGGAGAAAGACAGAGCCAAAUUGGGGGGCAGGGAGUCAGUCCUACCCUUCCAGGGAAACUGAGGCAGGACUGCCCAUUGUAGGGGGUGCCAUUAGGAAGGGAGCAGGAUUCUGGGGUACUCACCGCUGGGCCAGGGGUCCCCCGUGGACCUUGCAGACCCUGUACAGAGAAGGGAGCUUCUGAGCCUCAAUCUGGCCUCCCGUGGGCCUGUUCCUGCCCUCUGGAGACCUUUGCCUGGAGGCCCUACCUCUGGACCCUCACCCCUCCCAGGUACAAGUCACUCCGUACCCAUGAACUGCCCCUCAUGGACAGUACACAUGGGCCUGUGCACACACACGGCCAUCAGACAUGUGCGCUUGGACCUGGGCAACCAGGCACACCCCAUCACUGGACACAGGUGGCCCUGCAUGCAGGGGCCAGCACACCGCAAAAGGGUGACUGUGCCCCAGAACUCGGCCCAGGCUGUUCCUGCUUCCACUCACCGGCUUCCCCUCGGGCCCAGCCACGCCGCGCUCUCCUGGCAGACCCUAGAGAGAACGUGUUUAUGGCCACACCGUCUCGUCCCCCAUCCCAGCUUCCCCUGAGACAGUCCCGGGCAGAGCAGACUCCAGCCCAGAUGACACAAGUGAGAGCCGUGCGCUUGCACGCACGUGGUGCUGUGGGGCAAGGACUCACCGGGCUGCCAUUCGGACCCCUCUGUCCAGGCUCUCCCCGGUCGCCCUUGCUGCCCGGCUCACCCUGCAAGCGGAGUGUCGCACCCUGAGCAUCACUGCCGGGUGCCCACGCACACACCACCCCGGCACGCCCCCUGCGGAGGAGGGGAACAGCAUGGUGGGAUGACAGGAGGUCUCACCCUGUCUCCUUUGGGGCCUCGGUCGCCAUCACUGCCUGGAUCCCCCUGUGGGAAUGACAUGUCAAGCCAGGCCCUGGUGCCACGGCAGGGGUGGCCCCCAGGCUGAGCCCGCACACGGACCUUAGCGCCCUUGAAUCCGGGGGGUCCUUGUUCUCUGGAGAGCCCGGAACCUGGCUCGUCCACGGCCACCUACAAGCACAGGAUACAGGGCAGAGCUGUACUGUCACGGCAGCAGGAAUGGGUCGUCCCAAAGGGUUGUGGGUUCCGAGUCACCGCACGGAGCUUCUGGGGCCGAAGCCACCAGUGGCCUCUUGGUGACAGGAGUCACAGGCUUGGGCAGAGCUGGGGUGAUCACCUUGGGGCCUGGGGGUCCGGGGGGUCCAGGGAGGCCAGGAAGGCCGUCUCUGCCCUGCAGAAAAGAAGGAAA